GAGGUGAUGAUGGAGAUCCUCAUAGAAGGACCCGGGGCUCAUGGAAGGCAGGAGGUGAUGAUGGAGAUCCUCAUAGAAGGACCCAGGGCUCAUGGAAGGCAGGAGGUGAUGAUGGAGAACCAACACGGCCUCACCAAGGGCAAAUCCUCAUUGACUGACCUCAUAGACUUCUAUGAUGGCACUGAUACAUCAGUAGACGAAGGAAGAGCUGCUGAUAUCAUCUACUUAGACUUCAACAAGGCCUCUGAUGCAGGACCCCACAGUAUCCUCAUGUCCAAGUGAUGAAGACACCAAGUGGACGGGAAGAUGAUGAGAUGGAUGAAGAACUGGCUGUAGAACCGAGUCCAGAGAGCAGCAGCCAAUGGCUCCGUGUCCAGAUGGAGAUGAUGAUGAACAGCAUCCCAUAGCAUCCAACAUUGGGGCUGAUACUCUGCAAUAUAUGAGCAUAGAAUCAAAUGAUGAUCAGCACUGAGAACAAGAAUGACCAUCUCCAUUCAACCCUCCUGCUAUGGGGACAGUACCCAACCACCACACCAGGGUCCCACAGCCUCAAACACCUCUAGGGAUGGAGCAUCCCAAAGUGACCCAUUCCACCCCCAAACCCUGCAAUAAAGAAGGGAUCGCUCACACCAUUGUGAAGGCUGAGCCCUCCAUCCAAAGGAAGCAGGCUCUAGAUACGGCUCCUUCUCAUACCCAUCCAUAAGUGCUGUUAGGAGCAAUCAAAAGGAGAAGACAUCAGUCCAGUAAUAAAGAAGAAAUUCCUUACCCCAUUGCAAAGCCAAAGACUCACCAUUGACCCCAAAGGAAAGGAUCUCCAAGCAGAGUCGCAUCCCAUAUGGUAUCCAGAGCUCAAAAGCAGCAGGAAGGAGAAUCCACUACCCCCAAUGCUCCCAUAGGAGCACUGAGCUGGAACUGAUGCUGCCCCCUGCCCUUCCCAGCCCUUAAAUACCAAUCAAGGAGGGGAGGAGCCAGGCUCCAACCAAUCACAAUCCACCCCUCAACGGCCCCACAUGGGGUUGGCCCCUCCCCUCAGCAGGUGCCCAAUCAGGAUGUUACAUAACAGCUCCAAUCAGGAACAAAGCCAAAAAUUAAAGCAAUAACAGGUUAAUAAUUAUAUCUACCUGUUCUUAAAGGGGAGGGUUGUGGAUAGAGGAGAAACAACAGCACAGUAUAUGGACACGGGGGUGCAGAUCUCACUCUUGCAAUGGGGUGACACUGUGGGCACCGCUCUAGGGUAGAUGCUGGGGGGACAUUGGGAAGAUGGGGGGGUUAUGGGGGGGGACAUUGGAAUGAUGGGGGGUGAUGGGGGCGAUGAUAUCAUUAUAUAAUCAGGGUGAUAUAAUAGAAAUGCUUAGUCAUGGUUGGAAGCCAUGAUGGGGCGGGGACACAGCAGUACAGCCCAAGUGCAGGCAAUGCAUCCGAUUGGCUGAAGGGCUGGCUCCGCCCCCUCCUGGUGCUCAUAUAAGGUCUGGCACCGGGGGCCAGCACUUAUUUGCUGGAGCUCCUUGCUGCAGUCACAUCUACCCACAUGAAGAAGCUCUUCUGCUCUGUUGCUGCCUUGGACCAAGAGCUGCUGGAUGGAGCUCCAGGACUUGGCUUCUCCGCCAUCACAUUGCUCGGCCUAGAACAGCACUACAGGAGGUGAGUUCUGGCUCUGAUACUGGAAUAAUGCUGAGAUGAUGGGGGGCAGAGAUGGUUGGGGGGCAGAAAUGGUUUGGGGGGGAUGUUGAGGUGUCUGGGGGGGGACACGGAGCUGAUGUUUGACAAUGAAGCUGUAUGUAGAUGUGGAGGUAUCAAUGGAGUUACACAAGGAGCCAUGUUGGAAGGUGACAAUGAGUAGAUGAGGGACUGAAUAGUGAAAAAGGAGCCAUAGUAGAUGAAAAGAGAACACUUAGCUACAGAAAGGGAAAGGGGGCCUCACUAAGGCAAAGGGUA